UUCCGGUUGAUCCUGCCGGAGGCCAUUGCUAUCGGAGUCCGAUUUAGCCAUGCUAGUCGAGCGAGGUUAGCCUCGCGGCGAACAGCUCAGUAACACGUGGCCAAGCUACCCUGCAGAGGGGGACAGCGUCGGGAAACUGACGGGAAUCCCCCAUACCGGUCUCACGCUGGAAUGCCGAGACCGACAAACGCUCCGGCGCUGCAGGAUGCGGCUGCGGCCGAUUAGGUAGUCGGUGGGGUAACGGCCCACCGAGCCGAUAAUUGGUACGGGGUGUGAGAGCACGAGCCCGGAGACGGAAUCUGAGACAAGAUUCCGGGCCCUACGGGGCGCAGCAGGCGCGAAACCUUUACACUGCACGAACGUGCGAUAAGGGGACUCCGAGUGCGAGGGCAUACAGUCCUCGCUAUUGUGUACCGUAGGGUGGUACACGACCAAGAGCUGGGCAAGACCGGUGCCAGCCGCCGCGGUAAUACCGGCAGCUCGAGUGAUGGCCGAUUUUAUUGGGCCUAAAGCGUCCGUAGCUGGCCCUGCAAGUCCGUCGGGAAAUCCACUCGCCUAACGAGUGGGCGUCCGGCGGAAACUACAGGGCUUGGGACCGGAAGACUUGAGGGGUACGUCUGGGGUAGGAGUGAAAUCCUGUAAUCCUGGACGGACCGCCGAUAGCGAAAGCACCUCAAGACGACGGAUCCGACAGUGAGGGACGAAAGCUAGGGUCUCGAACCGGAUUAGAUACCCGGGUAGUCCUAGCUGUAAACGAUGUUCGCUAGAUGUGGCACAGGCUACGUGCCUGUGCUGUGUCGUAGGGAAGCCGAGAAGCGAACCGCCUGGGAAGUACGUCCGCAAGGAUGAAACUUAAAGGAAUUGGCGGGGGAGCACUACAACCGGAGGAGCCUGCGGUUUAAUUGGAUUCAACGCCGG
rnacentral:rRNA from 1 species